AAUAGAUACCCGGGUAGUCCACGCCGUAAACUAUGGAUGCUAGCUGUUAGAAGUAUCGACCCUUCUAGUAGCGAAGCUAACGCGUUAAGCAUCCCGCCUGUGGAGUACGAGCGCAAGCUUAAAACAUAAAGGAAUUGACGGGGACCCGCACAAGCGGUGGAGCGUGUUGUUUAAUUCGAUGAUAAGCGAAGAACCUUACCCAGGCUUGACAUCCUUGGAAUUUUGCCGAAAGGCGAGAGUGCUUUUAGAGCCAAGUGACAGGUGAUGCAUGGCCGUCGUCAGCUCGUGUCGUGAGAUGUUUGGUUAAGUCCAUCAACGAGCGCAACCCUUGUAGUUAGUUGUAUUUUUCUAGCUAGACCGCCUGGUAACAGGGAGGAAGGAGGGGAUGAUGUCAGGUCAGUAUUUCCCUUACGUCUGGGGCUACAAACACGCUACAAUGGCCGGUACAAAGCGCAGCCAACCCGCGAGGGGAGCAAAUCGCAUCAAAGCCGGUCUCAGUUCGGAUUGCAGGCUGAAACUCGCCUGCA
rnacentral:rRNA from 1 species